CACAGCAGUAGUUGGCUGUACAGGCCAGCCCUAUGCCUGAGCUAGCUACACUGCUGGGAGAGGAAGUCUUCUGGAAUAGGCCACAUUAGAGCAACUAUUUUAGUGGAUGAUGAGUUGUAGCAGAGCCGCUGUGCCUGCACACUGGGGCAGCCCUACUCUAAGGGCUAACAAA
rnacentral:snoRNA from 1 species